UGUUUAUCACCUCAAAGUUGGGUGAAUUAUUUAAUCACCCCUCCAAUCCUAUUACUUUUAUCAAUCAAGUGUUUGAUUUGCAUGAUUGAGCUCAUGAUUGAUAACUCGACCCGCAUCUAAUCAAUCAAAUAAGUGAUUGUCUAUCACUCCAAAGUUGGGUGGAUUAUAUAAUCACCCCAAAUUCAAGUUCUAGACUAAAUUGUCCUUGGCAAAAAAAAAGGUUCUAGACUAAAUUCCAUUAGAUAAUUGGGUAAAUAUCAUGAAAACCCCCGAACUAUACCCAUUUUAUCAAAAAUACCCUAAAACUUUCGAAAUGUUCUUUAAACCCUCAAACUAUCAGGUUUUAAUCAAAUAUAUCCCGCAUCUAUUUUUCGGAUAUCAGAAACGUGAUGUGGCUCGCCGGAUGCCACAAUGUAAUUUAUAUUCUAUUUUUUUAAAAUGACAUGGAAAAAACGACUUCGUUUCGUACCAUAUUCUAUCGUGUUUAUCCCUAAUUCUAGGUUAUUAGCGUGAAUUUCAAAGAAACAAUGGUGUCAAAUGGCCACAUUGAACAUGCAAACACAAUAUUUGGCCACUAAUUGAAAAAACACAAAUUAUAGCCAUUAAUUAGGCAAUAUGCCUAAUAUACCCCUAAUUGGGCGGACUGGGUAGAGUCAGGAGCGCGGGUCGCGUGCCGGGUAGGAUCAGGCACGCGGGUCGGGUUAGGCACUUAUGACACUAUUAGUGCCAUAAGUGCUAUCGAAAAUUGUUUUUUCCUCCCCCUGCCAAUAAUUUUUUUUUACUCCCACUACCCCCACCCACCCCAAGCCAAAACGAACUUUUUAAAUACUUCCCCUAGGGUUUAGAUAUUCCAUUUAGGGUUUAGAUGUUCCAUUUAAGGUUUAGAUUAUCCAUUUAGGGUUUAAAUGUUCCAUUUAGGGUUUAGAUGAUGCUCUUGUUUCUAUAUUUGUUCUGCAUGUUUGGCACUUAUGGCACUAAUAGUGCCAUAAGUGCUAAAAAGACCAUUUUACUUUAUUUUAUUUUGGAUUUUUGUUGGCACUUAUGACACUAUUAGUGCCAUAAAAUAAAAUAAUAAAGUAAAAUUUUUUGGCUUGGGGGUGGGUGGGGUCGGGGGGUCUGGGGGGGUAGACAGGGCAGGGGGAGUAAAAAAAAAAUUCGUUGGCACUUAUGGCACUUAUGGCACUAAUAGUGCCAUAAGUGCCUAACCCGACCCGCGUGCCUGAUCCUACCCGGCACGCGACCCGCGCUCCUGACCCUACCCAGUCCGCCCAAUUAAGGGCAAAAACGUCCCAAAGCUAUAAAAAUGGCCAAAAUUUGUGUUUUUUUUAAUGUUUGGCCAUAAAUUGUGUUUUAUGCUUCAUUUUGGCUACUUCAAAAUUUUACGCUUUCCAUUUUAUAAGUUUUUGCUAGAUUGGACUUUUAAAUGUUUAGAUCAUUCGCAGUGGACAGUUCAUGAGCUCUUGAAAAAUAAAAAUGGUCCUCACCUGGGGCUCUUAAUUUUUUUAAUUGAUCUUUAUUUUUAAUAUAUUUUUUAAAUUAAAUUAAACAUUAAAUUUAACAGCAAAAAUUUCAAUUAAAAUUAAAAUUUAACAUUACAUUAAUUAAAAAAUAUUACAAUAAUUUUUAUUUCUAUUUUAUCCUGAAUUUAAAUGCAUUUGUAGAUUAAAAAAUAAUAAUUAAAAACUGAAUUGAAAAAUUAAAAUUAAAACUAUUUGAAAGCUGCAUUAAAUUGAUAGUAUUAUAUUGAAUCUCACAUUGAAAAAUUUGGGAUUCUCUACAAUGCAUUUGCAUAAGCUGCUUGUAAUGAUGACUACAUAAUAAAAUUCAAUUAAUUAGAUAAAAUUUUCGCUCCCUACAAGAUUUGAACCAGGUAAAAACUUUUAUGCAAUAUUAUACUGCAGCUUAUGCAACACUAUAUACUGAUUUAUGCAAUCAUUCUCAUUUCUCACGAAAGAUAGCAUUCUCAGUAUAACUCAUUGCUAUAUAUAUAUAUAGGGAAGAGUUCCAUGGAGACCACUAAAUAUUCAAAUAAUAGAGACCAAAUCUCAGCCGUUGAUCUUAUCUAAUCUAACGGACACCAUUUAUUCCGCCAUGUUCAACGAAUUUUUUGUUAACAUAUAUAGGGUCGAAUCACAACCCCCAAAAAAUCGCAUUUAUUCACGCCAUGUUCAACGAAUUUGAUAACGUUCAUCAAAUUCGUUGAACAUAUCAGUAAUUCCGUUGAACGUUCAUCAAAUCCGUUGAACAUGGCUGAAUAAAUCUGAUUUUUUGGGGGUUGUGGGAUUCGACCUUGUAUAUGUUCAACAAAAAAAUUAUGUUGAACAUGGCGUGAAUAAAUAGUGACCAUUAGAUUAGAUAAGAUCAAAAGCUGAGAUUGGUCUCUGUUCUUUGAAUAUUUAGUGGUCUCCAUUGAAUGCAACCCUAUAUAUAAAUACUCUCUCCGUUCGUCGUAAAUAUAGCACUUUGACAGGACACGAGUUUUAAUGAAAAAAUUACUAGAUAUAUUUUUAAUAGAUAAAGAGUCCCACCAUAUAUAAAAUAAGUGAUUGAUGUUAAAUUAAGUGCGGGACAUAAUUGAUUUUUUUUAUAUAUAAAUAAGAUAAAGGUAAUUGGUAGAAUCGUGUUCUAAAAUGAAAAAUGCUAUACUUUUAGCUGACGUCAAAAUUGAUAAAAAAUGUUGUACUUAUGACGGACAGAAGGAGUACCGUUUAGUACCUAAAAUUACAUUACUAAGAGCAUCUACAAAGGGCUCUUUCGAAUAGCACGAUUGCCGCUUGAAUGUAGUGUGUAAACACAAGUUUUUGUAUUUUAAUUUAAUAAAAUACAAAAAGCGUUACAAAGAUAAUUUGAUAGACAUGAAGAUAGGUUUAAGCGGGUUGCAAUAUCUAGUUGAUCCUCUGAUUCUUCUCGAACAAUCUCGAAGGUUCUUGAAUUGUUUGAUUUGAUAACGUCAAUCCAAAGGACUCAAGUCAUGAUUUUGGAUUGAACGUUGAACUUGAUUUGAUUUGAAGAACGUUCUUAGAAUUUGUAAGAACACCUUGAAGCUUUUGAACUUGAUUUGCUUUGAUUUGACUUGAAGAACGUCCUUGAAAUUUGUAAGAACGCCUUGAAGAUACUUAAAUAUUUGAAGGAUACUUGAAGAUUUGAAGAUACUUUGAUAUUAAUUGCCUUGAAGAUUUUGAAGGAUAUUUGAAGGCUUGAUAGAAUUCCUGAAGAUAUACUUGAAGACUUGAUAGAAUUCUUGAAGAUUCUUGAAGAAUACUUGAAGGCUUGAUAAAGUUUCUUGAAGAUACUUGAAGCUUUGAAUAGAAUUCUUUGAGAUACUUGAAGCUCUUCAAUUAUUGCAAAACUUCACUUGUGAUACUUGAUAGAAUUCUUUAAGCUUUUUAAUUCUCCACUCUCAAACUUAUGAUUUGUGAGCACCCCAACACCUCUAUUUAUCGAUGUAGGAGAUGAGCUUCAUGGGCUUUGAGCCUCCAUGCAUGGGCUUUAGGGUUUAGGUGCCAAUGGGCCCAUUAAUUCAUUUAUAUUAAAUAUUAAUGAUAUAUCUAUUUAAUUUGAGAUAAAAUCUCAUUUAAUAAAAUAGAAAAUAUAAUUAAAUAUUCAAUUCAUGAAUUUACACGUGGCACGAUUUAAUUGGACGACAAUUUUAAUUGUCUACAUAGUGAAUAUCUUAUUCAAUGGUGCCUCCGCUAUCACUAAUAUUUGGAGCGGUGUGAACAGUACUCGGCAGAUGUAGCAAGCAUUGUUCACCCGCUACUUCACCUUUUUUUUUCUUUUCUAUUUCUUUCCUCUAUUUUAUGAUUUAUUGUAACAACAUAAAAAUACAAUAAAAUUAUAACAACAUAAAAAUACAAUAAAAUAAUAAUAGAUCAAUUAGAUUGACAAAAUAACUAUAAUUAAAUAAGAUUGAGCAUAAAUAUAAUUAUUUAUAAAUAUAUAUGAUAGAUUGACAAAAUAAUUUAAUAAUAGAAAUUAUAAAAAUAGAAUAUUCUAUUGUAGCGUGAAAUAUAGAGCUGAUUGUUGGAGAUGAAAAUGAAGAAAUUCUAGAUUUAAAUGAUACUUCAAGAAUUGAAGAUACUUUGACAUUUCCAACUGUUCGUAUAUUUGGAGGUCCAUUUGUUGGGGUAGAGAUCUCCUUACGGAGGGUAUUCGGUGGAAAGUUGGGGAUGGUGCUCGUAUUAAAGUUAGUGACAGAUGGAUUCCUGGUUUGGAUGAGGGAGGAAAUCGCUACUCCAUGAACUUACCUGAUAGCAGUAUGGUGGUUGACUUUAUUACUUCUGAUAUGGAGUGGGAUUCUGGGAAGAUUUAUUCUUCUUUCUUUCCUGUGGUGGCUCAGUGUAUACUUUCUAUCAAGCUUCCAGUGACAGCUGCUAAUGAUAUACCUUUUUGGAGCUUUGAUGAGAAAGGUAUGUACAUUGUCAAGUCUGGUUACUUAUGCUCUACUGGUUUUUAUAAACCACACAACUCUAUGGCGCCCACAUGUAGGGAUGGCAAUCUACCCGUGGGUAACGGAUAUCCGCGAAAACCCGAACCUAUUAGGGUGGGUUUGAGAGGCAUUUGAUAUCCAUUGAUAGUUUCGUGGUUGCAAUUCACUAUCCAUUUAGUUCGUGGGUAUGAGUUUAGAUACUUACUAUCCAUACCUGUGAAACCCGAUUACCCGCGAAAAAUACCCGCCAAUUACCCGUCAUAUAUCCAUGAAAUACCCACAAAAUAUAUUUAAAAUAUGGACUUUAGAUUUACAUAUUAGAUAUGAGCCAACACAUUUUAGAUUUAAAAUAUAUUUGAACUAUGUUAUUUGUGUUGAUUUAUUUUUUGUAUUAAAUUUAUAUUUAAAUUCUAUUUCGCGGGUAUCCGGCGGAUAGCGGGUGACGGAUACCCGCCAGAUAGCGGGUUCGCGGAUACCCGACGGGUAGCGGGUAUCCGCGGGUGGCGGGUUUGGAUACCAUUUGAUAUCCAUGGAUAGUUUCGUGGUUAAAAUCACUAUCCAUUUAGUUCGUGGGUAUGAGUCACUAUCCGUAUCCGUCGUACCCGAUUGCCAUCCCUAUCCACAUGUGGGUCUAAAUGGUGGAAGUUUGUUUGGGCUCUCAAUAUUCCGUCGAAAGUUAAACAAUUUGUAUGGCGGACGCUCAACGAUUUUAUUGCAACCGAUAUUAAUCUUGCUCGUCACCAUAUUCCUACGUUAGGUUUUUGUUCAUGGUGUAAGAAGGAUUGGGGUACGACUGAGCAUUGUCUGCUGUGGUGCGAGUUUGUGGCCUGUUCUUGGAAAAGUUCGGGGUUUUGGUACAUUUUGAAGACUUUCCGACAACUAUCGUUGAUGGAUAUCUAUAGAGUGAUUAAUGAUAAGGAGGGUGUUCAAGGGCUGGAGAAAUGGAUUAUGAUGUUAUGGGCUACUUGACGUUUCCUGUGUGAUCUCAAGCAUGAGGGUUCCCAGAUUUUGCUGCUAACGAGGCCUUGCUGUCAAACUUCCAAGAGGCAAAGAAAAGACUCUAUAUGAACCAACUACUGCUACCUAAGGAGGGGAGUGCACGUUGGUUUAAGUCGAGACCAGGCCUGGUGCAAGUCGACGUCGAUAUCUCCAUACAUGAGGAUAGUAUUUAUGCUGUUAUGGGGUUUAUUGCCCGUGACCAUGUUGAUUCUAUUUUGGCUGCUGGGUGUCAGUCGUUUGGACGUCUGAAAACUAUUCUCAUGGGCGAAUUGCAUGGCUUGCUUGUUGCUAUCGGGUUAUGUUUUGAAGAAGAUAUCGGACCGGUGUCAAUGUUCAUGAACUCUCUACUUGCAAUGCACGUGAUUCAUGAUACUUAUAAAGAGACUGAGUCUUUGAGCAAUGAUCUUUGGAAGCCUUCCAACAUGCUAGGAAUGCUGUGGUUUUUAGUUUUGUCAUGCUCGUAGAAGUGUCAAUAAAGCAACUCAUGCUUUGACUAAUUUUGGUGUUGAGUCUGGUGUUGUUUCGAUUUGGAAGUCGGGCUUUCCGCUUUGGCUUCUUGACAUCGUUCGCAUAGAUUUAGUAGAAUGAUUUCGUUUCCCUCUCAAAGAAAAAAAAAAUAUAUAUAUAUAUAUAUAUAUAUAUUGUAAAUAUGCAUUAGAAAAGUAAUUAGUACAUAGACGUAUAAUAAUAAUAAUAAUAAUAAUAAUAAUAAUAAUAAUAAUAAUAAUAAUAAUAAUAAUAAUAAUAAGGUAAAAUGUCCCUCUAUUAUCACUUGAAAUUUAGAAAAUAAUUCUUUAGCACCAAUUUAAAAACAAAAAAAAACUAAUGAGUUUAAGAUUAAUAAAUACUCCCUCUGUCCCUGAAAUGACUUCCUCUUUGGGGACGACACGGGUUUUAAUAAAAAGUUUUAAAGUGUAUUGAUAGUGGAGAAAAAGUGAUAUAAUUAUUAUUGGAAGUUGUGAAAAGUGUUAUAAUUAGUAUUGAGAGUGGUGAAAAGUGAAAAGUAAGAAUAAAUAAAGUAUUAUUAGUGGUGGGGUAGGUUUCCAAAAAUGGAAAGAAAGAAAGAGGAAGUUAUUUGGGGGACGUCCCAAAAUGGAAAAAGAGGAAGUUAUUUUAGGGACGGAGGGAGUAUUUAAUAAGAACUUCCUAGGAGGGAGUGACACAGGUUUUAAGAAAAAAUAUUGUUGAGUGUAUUGAGAGUGAAUAAAAUAUCCCUCCGUCCAUGAAAGAACUUGAACUUCUUAGGAGGGAGUGGCACAGGUUUUAAGAAAAAAUAUUGUUGACUGUAUUGAGAGUGAAUAAAAUAUAGUUGAGUGUAUUGGGAGUGGUGAAAAAGUGUUAUAAUUAAUAUUGAGAGUUGUGAAAAGUGAAAAGUAAGAGGAUUAUAAGUGGUGGGGUAUAGUCCAAAAAUAGGUAGGAAGUUCUUUUGUGGACGUCCCAAAAAAAGAAAGAUAGGAAGUUAUUUCGUGGACGGAGGGAGUAUUAAUAUUGUUAAUGUAUAAAUAAUAAUAAUAAUAAUAUGUCAAUACAUUAAUUUUUUUUGAGUUAAAGGUUAGGAGAAUUGAGAAUCCUAUUCAACUCGAGGACGAAUAUCAUCCCGCAUCGACGAAGAAUACCAUAGUUAUAAUUAGACUAAUAAAUCUUAAUUAAAAAUAAUAAAUCUUAAUUAGAAUUUAAAAAUUUAUUAUUAAAUGUGAUUUGUCUUUUGUUAGUACAUAUACUAUAAGUUUGAAAAAAGAAAUUAUCAGUUUAAAUUUUGUCUCUACUUUCUCAUAAAAUAAUCUCUGCGAGCUUUUCGUCUCUGCAACUGUAAGCCGUAGCAGACAACACUCUCUCACCAGUCUCUCUCUAAAGAGAGAGAGAGAGAUAGAGAGAGAGAUUGACACAUACCCGAUUAACUGUUCCUUUCUCUCUCCAACAUCUCUAUAAAGAAGUGAGUGACCUCAUUUAUCCACAUCCCAUGAUCCCAUUGAACAACUGGUCGUCCAUUUUAUUUAAAUCAAAAUAGCGCCACCAUCUUCCGCCAUGGAUGGCGCCCAGCUUCACCACAUGUAUAAACCACCUGAAACUCCAAGAGAGCCAAUGGAAUUCCUCUCGCGCUCCUGGAGCGCCUCAGCUUUUCAAAUCUCCAAAGCUCUAGCUCCGCUGCCGCCCCCCAACAACAUUCCUGAAAUUGGCGCCGAUAUCAUACUCGAAGAUAUCUCGGCCGAGAUGGAGUCCGCCGCCGCUGUCGUCGGAAACCCUUUCGCCUUUGCUUCUUCCCAGACCUCUCAGCUUGUUAUGGAGCGCAUUAUGUCUCAGUCUGUAAGUAAAGAUCGAAUUUUUGUAUGUAAGUGUUGUAAAACUAUCGAAUAUUUUGUAUGUGUGCGUAAACAAAAACUAAUUGGCUUGGACUAAACAAAAACAACUUCUUUCUUUUUGUCCAUAUCCUCUCUGGUUUGUGGGAGCGUGACAAUGCUUUUUUUGACUAGUUAAACUAAAUUGUAUUCUUGGAUUUUUGUGGCACUUUUUUGUGUGUGUCAAAAUGUGUUUCUUUGCACCAGUUCUGGCAAGGAUGAUUAAUAGUAUUAUGAUCUAUGUAAAAUUCAUCGUCUUCUUCUACGUGGAUAUGUUAAACAGAGCAUUUCUUGGUCUUUGGGUUAUGGUUGAAUUCUUAGCUUGCGCUGUUUAUUGUAUUGAAGAAUCAAGAAACCUCUUCGUUUUGUGAUUUUUGCUGGAGUUGAUCUAUUGAUAUGGGCACUACGUUUGCAGCAGGAUGUAUCACCACGUACUUCGGGAAGGCUAUCCCACAGCAGUGGGCCUCUCAACGGUGGUUCCAUCUCUGAUAGCCCACCAGUCUCCCCAUCUGAAAUGGAUGAUCUCAAGGUUUGAUUUCUUUUUCUUUAUUUUUCUUGCAUUAUUCUAUUUGUUUCUUUGUUUGCUGUUUGUUGUCUUGCAUUUGCAUUUAUUUACUGACCCCAUUCAUGGUUUUGGAGUACGAAACUUUUAUUUGUCUGUCUGUCUUCUGAUUAAUUUGGUCGCACAAAGCACAAGUUCUGCAGAGAGAGAGAGAGAGAGAGCAUGUAUCAGCUUUCUCUUCAACCAACAACAUGCUGAAACUGUUAACAGAGAACCAGACUGAGACCACCUAUAUUAGUUUCUUGCAUUAGCUUUAAUGAUUGAAGAAUUUUUUGGGGUUGCUGAAAUAUUUAUUUCUUAAUCCUUUUAUUUCCUAAGAAAAUAUUUUGUUUGAUUGUGUGAUAAAUGUUACAGCUUUGAUUGUCUGGCAAUAAUGGAAAGAAAGGAAUUUAUGAUGUGGGGCAGUAGACCAUCUUGAGUUGUGGUUCAUGUUGAUUCCUUAACAAACAAACCUUCACACUACAUAAUGACAACUGGUCCAGUUUAUUUGUGGGCUCUUUUUGAGCUAAUCUCAUAAUGGAAUCAAGUUUUUAGCUUUAAUUCCACAUCAAAAUGAGGUGUAGUGUUUGGUGAAUUGGAUGUUGACAUUGGUGUUUAUGCAGUUGAUCAAUGAUCAUGUUAGCAGUAGCAACCAGAUCAAGAGCAGCUUCGUCGUUGGAACCUCUGCAGGCGGAAGGAAGACGGUGGGGAGGUGGUUGAAGGAUAGGAAGGAGAAGAAGAAAGAGGAGGUGAGGGCACAGAAUGCACAGCUUCAUGCUGCCAUUUCUGUUGCUGGUGUAGCAGCUGCAAUUGCUGCCAUCGCGGCUGCCACAGCCGUGUCGUCUGGAGCUAGAAAGGAUGAGCAGAUGACCAAGACUGACAUGGCGGUGGCCUCCGCUGCAACACUAGUGGCUGCACAGUGUGUUGAGGCGGCUGAGGCUAUGGGGGCCGAGCGCGAGCACUUGGCCUCAGUGGUCAGCUCCGCUGUCAAUGUCCAGUCGCCUGGCGACAUUAUGACCUUGACAGCUGCUGCAGCUACUGGUACAAAUCUUGCCAAUUCUUCAAUCCAGAUUAAGCAGAUCCAUUCAUUCAUGUUAUUGUUAUUUGAGGUUUUUUUUAUUUAUGAAAAUUUCUGCUGCCUUUUUCUAGCACUGCGUGGCGCUGCAACAUUGAAGGCGAGGGUGUUGAAGGAAGUUUGGAACAUCGCAUCCGUGAUCCCCGUGGAUAAGGUUAUGGGAGUACCUAGUGGUGGCAGCAGUGGAAGAAAUGGGAGUUUGAGUGGAAGCCACAGUGGUGAGCUUGUAGUGGAAGAGAAUUUUCUUGGCAUUUGCAGUAAGGAGUUGCUUGCUAGAGGCGGCGAGCUCUUGAAACGAACGCGAAAGGGUAAAUUCUUGGCUCUCCUCAUCUCAAUCCUAUUGCAAGAAAUGUUUCUGUUAGUGCCUCUUUUAGUUUGACAGAUUGAUGAUGCUAUUUACGCGUUUUUUCUUGAUGAUCAUAUGCAAUUUUAGUGUUGAAUUCUGUAUGGUGAAAACGCAGGUGAUCUUCAUUGGAAGAUUGUGUCUGUGUACAUCAACAGAAUGGGUCAGGUGAGCCUUUUCUUCACCAUGAUUGAACAAUCAAACUCUUUGCCUAUGAUAUUAUGCUCGACUUUACGUCUAAUCUUCAGCAAAGAAACUUCAAUCAAGUGGGGGAAAAGCUAAAGCUACUGAAAAACAUAUAAAAUGUUGAUCUGCUUUUGGCUUUCUGUGAUCUGAAACACACAGUUUUUGAUUCACAUUUUGACAGGUGAUACUCAAAAUGAAGAGUAGACAUGUAGCUGGGACAGUCACAAAAAAGAAAAAGAGUAAGCCUUUAAUUUUCUGCUUUUCUCUUUUCUUUUCUUUUUGUGCAGAAUUGGAGGUGGUGGGCUUGCUUCCAUUUUGGGGAUUUGAGAAAGUAGUGUGCAAAUUGUUUUGAGAAAAAAAGAUAAAGAAAGUUGCCAUCUUUUUCUUUUUUCUUAAAAUUCUCAGAUGUAGUGUUGGAGGUGAUGAAGGACGUGCCGGCGUGGCCCGGGCGCCACCUGCUCGAGGGCGGUGAGGACCGGAGAUACUUCUCGUUGAAGACGGUGGCGCGUGGUGUUGUCGAGUUCGAGUGCCGGAAUCAAAGGGAUCAUGAUAUAUGGACUCAAGGUGUUGCAAGGUUGCUUGCAAUUACUGCAGAUAAGAGCAGACCCUGAUGGUUUUGCAAUCCUAUGAUUAUGGCCUAAAAUCAUGAAGUUUGGCUGGCAAUUGUAGUUUUUAUUUGAUGUCUUUGCCUAUGUCCAGUGUAUAAAAUGAAGCUAAAGUUUUUCUCAUUGGGGUCAUUUAUUUAGUAAUGGUAAAAAGUAAAGUGAAAGCUUAGAAAACCAUGUGAUCUUUUGUGGGAAAGAAAAAGGGGUAUCUUGGUUCUUGGACUAGGUUUUGGUCAAAAAAGAAAGAAUGGGAGAAUCCCAUUUUUCUUAGAUUUUAUAUUAUUAUAAUUCAGGUUAUGUUAAGUCCCUUUAAUGAGUGUUGGGAACAUAGAUUAAGGUUUGUAAUUAGGCUGCUUGGUUUGUAAUCAUUGUAUUACAUUUGUUUGUUUUGGGUGCUUGUCUUUUUCUGUAAUAAUUCCACUAGGACUGUAAAUGAAUGAAUAAUGCUAACGCUUUCUAUCUUGAUUUGCUCGAGGGAGAUGAUAUAUAAAUGAGAACUUAGCAUAACUAAAAACAUAUUGUAAUUAUCAAAAUAAUUUCUGAAUUUAAGAAAAUCUACAAAUUCAGAUAUUCACAUAACUGGCUGUAGGAGAAAGCAAACACACCUUCCACACAUAUAAACCAUUCUUGAAACACAAUAUUUUAAAAAAAAGAAACACCCUUUCUCAACCCCUUAAUUUUUCUUCAGAUCAAAGAUGGAAUCUUGAGCAUAUAGGUUUCCUCAGUGACUCCACAACUUCUCUUGAUCCCAAAAGAACAAUCUUGUUCCUAGUUGGAAAUGAGGUCUUCAAUCAUCUCCAAAAAUAGCAAGAAUGUACAAGAACAGAUUCACUAUGUCCAUGUACAGACAGCAUGCUGCAUCGAUGUACUGAUCGUAGUUGAAGCGCUUGAUCAGAUUGUCCGUGUCAUAGAUUAUGAAGCCGGAGAAGACCAGCGCCCCCACGCACCCGAUCACCUGCUCCCCGAUUCUCCCCAGAGGGAAAAUGAUCUGUCAACACAAGAGAUAUGUCAUCAAAUGCAGCAGCAUUGCCUUAUAAAUAGACCAGAUUCUCUAUGUAAAAUUAACUAACUGACCCUAAUGAUGCCAAAGGCCAUGAGCAGCAAGAUAGCACAGAACAAGAAAGGCCCCAUGAAGCUGAAGUCUGCGCCUCGUUUUGCAGCAGCAAAUGUGAACGCUGUGAGGCCAACAGUCACAAGUAGAGUCAGACCGGCAGCCAUCAACACCGCGUCACCUGCAAACCAGUGAACUCAAGUUAGCAUUCGCAUUUUGUUUGGACAAAAAAUCAUGUGAAUUUUCUCUAUUUGAAGUAGUUAUUGGCAGCAGAGGCCGGAAGUUGUAGUAGUCAAGAGCUUCUCAAUUGAAAAAUUCUGUGAAAAUGUAUACACGGAUUGCUUGCAAUAAUAUAAGCAAGAAAUUAAAUGAAACAAUUGAAUAAGAAGAAAUAUGGUUACCUUUUCUUUGAGAGGAACAAGCCCCUACCAUGAAUGCCAUAGCGAAGGUGAAGAGAAACAAAAGAAUAUAGUUCCAUGGAUGUUUCUGACUUAAGCAACUCAUCAUCAAGCACACUGCAUGGAUUAAUUCAAACAAUUCAAGAAAAUUACUUACAUCAUUUAUACUAUAAAGAUUCCAAGAUUGAAUGUCACUCUUUUCAUACAACAACUAGAUAGACAAUCUUGUCUGAUAACUAACACAGAGAGACAUUUGAUCUCUUCAAUGCAAGAUUAAAAAGGCCAUUUGAUCUCUCUCUUUUCUUUUUUCUUUUUUUUUAAAAAAAAAGCCAUUUAAAUAAUACUAACAAAUAAUAGGCACUCAUUUAUCGGCGAAAAUUGAAAUUUAAAUGUCAUUCAAGAGCUGUAUCAAAUCUAAGCAGAAGACUGCAAAGCAGCAUUCCAAUAUUCAAGAAUUAAUGUGACUAAGGCCAUAGUUUUUAAACUAAUGUUUACUUUUACAACAAGGAUUAUAAAUUUAGGGGCAAAGACGCACAGUAGUAAUCUCCCACCAAUCAGUUUUAAUUUUUCUUCAUAUAGUUAUAGUUAUAGUUAUUCAAAUCAUAGAAAAACAAAAUGAGAAAUUAAUAAAAAGAAAAAAGGAGAGUAGAGUAGUUACGUAUAACGGUAAGAAUGAUGGCGGCGAUCAUGGUGUAGAGGCCGGCGGGCGUGCGGAGGAAAUGACGAACAGGUUGAAUAAGAGUCAUGGCAAUGGCAAUCCCAAAGGUGAUGAGCAACUGCACGCAGAGUAUGGAAUAAACUUUACGGAUGAAUCCCCAUCGCAGCUGAGGGUUCUCUUGCAUGCCCGGGUACAGCUGCCCGUUUCCCUUCUCCAGAUCCACAUUGUUUUUAUUUGAAAAGAAUGCCAUUCUCUCUCAUCAACCGCUAAAUCCUUUCUUUUCAAGAAUUGAUUACCUUUUCUCUGAAGAAAUUACAAUGUGUCGAGGGUUGAUCAAAUUUUUGUCUCUCUUUCUCGGUGUUUAUAUCGGAUGCGGAUUUGUGGGGAAGAUGAACUAAUGGGUGGUGCGAUGUGCUGAGACCAAUUAUUCAGGGGAGUCGCUCGUAACCGCCUUUUUUUUUGCUUUCAAAUUGUCAGUUUUCAUUUGGGUUAAUUAUAGUUUAUGGCCGAACUUUCAAAAAUACAAAAGAUAGCCUGAACUUUAAAUUCAUUUGUAAAAAUUACAUGAAUUUUGUAGUCAUUUGUAAAAACGACAUGAACUUUAAAAAAUACAAAAAAUGACAUGAACUUUGAAGUUAAUUGUAAAAAUAGACAAACUUUAAAGUCAUUUGUAAAAAUAACAUGAAUUUUUAAAAAAAUACAAAAAUAAUUUGAAUUAUGAAGAUUUGUAAAAAUGACCUGAAGUUAAAAAAAAAUCUAAAAUGACUCGAUCUUUCAUAAAUACAAAAUCUAAAAUGACCUGAAAAGUAUGUAAAAAUUCUCUGUCUGUGCGUAAUAUGAAUUUUAUGUACUCGAAGUUUAAAAAAUUCGUGUUGUCAAUAAUAUUUUACGAGAGAAUAAUUAUUUGUACGAGAUUAAAAUUCUUAUGAUAAGAGAAUUAAUUAUCAUACUUUAUUAUAAAUAUUNUGAACUUUGUAGUCAUUUGUAAAAAUGACCUGAACUUUAAAGUCAUUUGUAAAAAUGAUAUGAACUUUAAAAAAUACAAAAAAUGACAUGAACUUUGAAAUUAUUUGUAAAAAUAGCCAAACUUUAAAGUCAUUUGUAAAAUUGGUCUAGAACUUAAAAAAAAUACAAAAAAUAAUUUGAAUUAUGAAGAUUUGUAAAAAUGACUUGAAUUUUAAAAAAUCUAAAAUGGCUCGAUCUUUCAUAAAUACAAAAUCUAAAAUGACCUGAAAAGUAUGUGAAAAUUUUCUGUCUGUGCGUAAUAUGAAUUUUAUGUACUCGAAGUUUAAAAAAUUCGUGUUGUCAAUAAUAUUUUACGAGAAAAAAUUAUUUGUACGAGAUUAAAAUUCUUAUGAUAAGAGAAUUAAUUAUCAUACUUUAUUAUAAAUAUUCCAAGUGAAUUUAUAAUUUUCAUAUAAUUUUCACGUCAAUGUCAGACUUUCCACGUUGUCAUAAUUCGAUUCCGAAAGUGUAAGCUCAUGCCAUUUUUAUACAUUUGAUAAAAAUUGAGUCAUUUUUUAUAUUAAUAAAGUUCGUGUCGUUUUUACAAAUGACUUCAAAGUUCAUGCCAUUUUUUUAAGUUAAUAUCAUUUUUACAAAUGACUCCAAAGUUCAGGCUAUUUUUACAAAUGAUUUCAAAGUUCAAGUUAUUUUUUUGUAUUUUCCAAAUUUCGAGCCAUUUUUGCAAAUGAUUUCAAAGUUUAGGCUAUUUUUUUAUUGUUUUUAAAGUUCGGGCCAUAUUUACAAAUGACUUCAAAGUUCGGGCCAUAAACUACAAUUAACCCUUUUCAUUUUGAACCAUGAUUUUCAAGCAUCCAGAUUUUCUAUUAUUAUUAUUAUUAUUAUUAUUAUUAUUAUUAUUAUUAUUAUUAUUAUUAUUAUUAUUAUUAUUAUUAUUAUUAUUAUUAUUAUUAUUAUUAUUAUUAUUAUUAUUAUUAUUAUUAUUUAUUUUCUAAAUUUUUCAUUUUCGUUUAUUCUUCCACCUACCACUUUUCUUUCACUUUCAAAAUUUUAUUUUUCUAAUAAUUACAAAAAAUUACUUCCUCCGUCCUAAUAGUAAUGUCCCAUAGCUUUUGGGCACGAAGAUUAAGAAAUAGUGAAAAAAAUAGAAAAAGUUGGUUGGUGGAAAUUAUUUAAAUAUUAGGUAUAAAGAGAAAAUAUAUUGCCAAAAAAGGAAUUAGACAUUUGUAUUGGAACGUCACAAAAAGAAAAAUGUGACAUUACUAUUGGGACGGAGGGAGUUAUAUGGAAUAUAAAUUUUAUCAAAAUGUGCACAACUUUCUAACAAAUUACGAACAAUUUAUUUUUGGACAUGGUCUCACAACUAACUUCUUAAUUUUCCAUUAUCGUCCACCAUUAUUUCUAGACUCCACUCACAACGAAAAUCUCAAUUGAUUAAAGAGAAGAUGCAAAAACAUGUAGUUUCAGAAGAGUCAUAACCCUAAAUAAAAAAUUUCGAGAAAUUGAAACUUAAACGAAAGUGAAACACUAGAAAGGACGUGCUGAGAAUUGGUAGACUACUUGGAUCUCUGCCUCAUCUUUCUGCGCUUCCUCUUCAACCUCCUCAUACGCUUCUUCUUCCACUUAGCUCUCAUGGUUGAAAGAGAAACUCUGAUGACAGAAUUACUUGGAAAUCGGCAACGAUGAGAUUGCCU
rnacentral:lncRNA from 1 species